GUCACGAUAGCUCAAGUGGUAGAGCAUCGGCGUUUUUAGCCGAAGGUUGUUGGUUCGAAUCCCCCUUGUGACA
rnacentral:tRNA from 1 species